CCCAGCAGAGCAGGAGGGAGAGCUGUGCAGUGCCUCUUGGUCUGCUGGCUUCCCAGCGAAGCAGGAUGAGGGGCGGAAGGGGCUCCGUAAGGGCUCCCUUCUGUCCCUCAUCGUGCAUCACUGUGAAGGCAUCACAACAAGAGGCGCUGUGCAGCUCUCCCUCUUGCUCUGCUGGC